AAAACCUCCAGCUCACUCUCAGCUGAGGCUCCCUUAGCUGGAAACGAAAAAAAAACCCUAAGGCUGGAGAGAAAAGAAAGAUAAAAGAAAACCCUAGAGGCUCCUCCAGCUCCCUCACGCCGCCUCGAGCUCCCUCGGACGACUCCCCCAACACCCUCACAGAGAAAUCAGAGAGCAGCAAUCCCCUUCUUCUUCAAUCUCUCUCUCUCUCGAGCCUUUCCACCAUGGCACCGAGCAACAACUUUCCUAGAGCAUAAGAGGAGUUAGGUGAACUUCUUUAAUCUCAAAUGAAUUGUUCAUGCUUGGGUUGUGUUGUGGAGUGAUUAUUCGGAAUAUUGAAGUAGCCUAGCUCAAUGUUGACGGUUACAUAUUAAGCCCGAAGGUGAGGCCGAACUUCAGGAUUUUUUUUUUUCUCACUCGAAUCGGGAUGCGUGGGAACGAAUUUUAGAACCUGCUGUGACACUUGAGGGUAUGGCUGAGAUUGCAUUAAAGUUUCAUUCAAUUCAUGGCCGAUGCACUUGGUUUUGGCUUGGGUGAAAUGAUGCUGGAGUUAUGGGCUGACUUAAGUGAUGAUCCAUGGAUGUGUAUUAGCAUGUUCGACAUGAUUUUCCGUGAUUUAAUGCUGCGCGCGUGUAUGAGGCUGAGUUAUCUGCUGAUUGCUCCAUUGAUUGUGAGUUAUUUCAUGCAAUCUUGAGAAUCUUGGAACAUAUGCAUCAUAUGGGCUGAGUUACGUGGCUCUAUGUUGAUUAUUUCGAGUGUGUUUGGCAUGGUUUUGAUGAGAUCGUCCCAUCUGAAUGCUGGAUAGAGUUGUGGGUUGAUCCUUGGUCCGCACGAGGUGAUUCUAACUUGACUUUUGAUGUUUAAAGACCAAGCGUGAGUUAGUGACUUAAUUGCAUGACAAUUCUUGUAUGAGUCAGAUUUUUAUUUUAGUACGACCUUGAAAUCGUUGUAUUAUAUGCAAGCACGUGGCUGAUUAAAUUUUUAUAGUUACUUGGUGGGGUCAUCCUUAAUCACUUGAAGUGGGCCUCUGUUGAAGCUAGAUGCCUUUGGAUUUUCUUUUCUCAUGUUCCAUGACUUAAUAGUCUCUUGAAGGUCGAUGUGAAGGACUUUUACAUGCUGAUCAUCCUCUGUUGAGGGCCUUAAAGGCUCGAUUUGGCUGCUUUCGAGUCACUGGAUGAGUCGUUAUCAUGCUUGGAUGUCAAAGUAUCGAUUUUCUUGGCAUUUCAUGCCAUUUUGGAUGUUAUGAGGACUUUAAAGUCAUGAUCAGAUUUGAAUUGUGGUCUUGGAGCUCUUCUUGUUUGUUUCAUUCUCGAUCUCGUUCAUAGACCGAACAUUUGGUUUUGCUUCGAUUCUCCCGUGUUCGUUUCUUGUUUACAUAUCCCUUCGAGUCUUGGAGUGAAGAGAAGAAAAUUGAAGAGACGAGAAUACAAUAAGCCGAUGUCGAUGGGGCUCGAAGACGGUGUGGAGGUCGAUCUAGGCUUAGAUCGAUCCCGACUUGAAGGCCACCUAGGUCCGUGGUUGUCAUGGGAUCUUCCGAGCUGAUCGAUCCCAGGAAUCUCCUAGGAUAAGUUAUGUUCGAGAGCGAAUGAUUGGAGUUAAGAAGAUUGAGCAGAGAGUUACAAUAGAAGCCCAAAAGAAGUUGUUGAUGGAUCUGGGAGUAUUCUCUUGAUAGACUAUCUCUUGAUAGAUCAGUAACUUAGUAUGCUUUGUUGCUCAUAUGUUUUGUUUGGAUUUUCAGACUGUAUGGCAUGCAUGCCAUUUGUUUGGGCCUUGUGCCUUGUAUUGGUUUGGCCUUUUGGCCUUGUAUUUCGAUCCUUUGAUUGAUUAAUGGAGGAGCGUGUUAAUUCAGAUCAAAAAAA